rnacentral:rRNA from 1 species
UUCAAUGAUGUGCUAUGGAAGAUGGUGAUCGAUGAUGAACUACAAUCCAAGAUAAGUAAAUUGGCUGAUGAUUAUGAGCGGACGGAGGGUAAAUGUUUCACCAAGCAAAUGGCAAUUAAAGACCGCGACAAAAAGAUACUUUGGUGGAAUGCAUAUGGUGGCCUUGCUUUUGACCUCAAAUCUUUUGCAAAUCGGAUCAUUAGUCUAUGUUGUUCAUCGUCUGGCUGUGAGCGCAAUUGGAGUGCAUUUUCUAAUAUACAUACCAAAGGAAGAAGCCGUUUGGAGUAUAAGAGAUUGAAUAAGCUAGCAUAUUUCUCAUACAACCGGCAAAUGACAACUAGGUUUGAAAAGUUAAGCAAGCAAGGUUCCAAAGGAAAGAGGGCUAAUGCACUUAUCCUAGAAGAAUUUCAAUGGGAUAAUGAAUGGGUUGAUAUUACUACUGAAUUGGUUCAUCAAAAUGACGCUAUGGACGAUGACAAUGCACUACUUUGGUCCCAUGUUGAUCAGGCCGUUGGCGCGACCGAUGGUCUAAGUGGACGUCAUCUUCCAAGGAGGGCUUGUGGUGAUUUCAGUGAGUCUAGUCCUCCCGCUGGCUCUAUCUUUUACACUCGAAGGACAAGUGUGGUUGUCCAUGAUGAAGACUUGCGGACUGAAUUGGAAGCUGAAGAUAUUGAUAGUGACAUGGAGACCAAUGGUGAAGACAAUGAGGACCCUACAUGA